AGAUACUCGGAGCGUAGUAACACAAAGUGUGUGGGAAUCACCAUCGAGACACGACCUGACUACUGCCUGAAGCGACACCUCAGCGACAUGCUGAACUACGGCUGCACCCGGCUGGAGAUAGGAGUGCAGAGUGUGUAUGAAGACGUGGCCCGAGACACCAACAGAGGCCACACGGUGCGAGCUGUAUGCGAGUCCUUCCAGCUUUCAAAGGACGCUGGCUUCAAAGUGGUCGCCCACAUGAUGCCGGAUCUGCCUAACGUGGGCAUGGAGAGGGACGUGGAGCAGUUCAUAUGUGGUGAUUCAUAGGGGUUGGCACUCUGCAGAGGUGGACAAGUUCAACACCUUGAGUUUCCUCUGAAAGGUAGU